rnacentral:tRNA from 1 species
GGGACUAUAGUUAAUAAUAACAUUUGAGUUGCAUUCAAAAAGUACUAUCCAAGUAGUUAGCCUCA